UGGUGGUCUAGUGGUUAGGAUUCGGCGCUCUCACCGCCGCGGCCCGGGUUCGAUUCCCGGUCAGGGAAAUGCUUUUUUCCUAACCAGAAGAAUCCUUUCUAGGUUAUCAUUGUAUCUGCUAGUCACUUCCCGCAUCCGCAAGCUGAAAUACAGGAAAUAACUACAAAGAAAAACACUGCUCACAAAUCUAUCAUACAGUGAUAACUGCUAACAUCCAGUUUUCAGUUAUUACUCAUUCUAUUACCAGCCUUUUUUUAAAGUUAUAUUUCCAACACUUAUCAGUGGAAAUAAAUAUUCACCAGCAACGUAUUUUCUUUCAAUUUAAUUACUUCGUUUUUGAAAAGGUAAUAUGGUUUAGGAUAUUUACAUGGUUAGGAUAUGCAAAAGGACAUAACUGAUAAACCUAAUUUCACCUCUGCCAUCUAGUUUCCAUCUGAUAAAGCAACCAAUUUUGAAUUUCUUAAUUAUAAUUCUAUAAGUAUUUUAUGCAAAUUGAAGCACAUGCAGACAUACUCUCUGCCUUACACAAACGAUUGCAAUCUGUACAUGCUGUUCUCCAUUUUGCCCUUUUCACCUAAUAUUGUUCGGGAUUAGACAUGAAAAACGUCCUCAUUCUUUCUUAUGGCACAUAGUAUUCCAUUGUAUUGACAUUCCAUAAUUAAUUGAACCAGCUUCCUAUUGAUGGACACUUAGAUUAUUUCUAAUGUUUUGCUAUUAUAAACAAUGCUGCCAUAAAUAAUCUUGUACGUAUGUCAUUUUGCACGUGUGUAAAUGCCCAGCAAUUGAAAUGUUGGUUUAAAAGGUAUGUGCAUUUGUGGACAUAUAUUGCCAAUAUGCCCUCCAUAGAAAUUGUGCCAAUUUACGCUCCCACCAGCAAUGUACAGUGUAUAUGUAAUUAAAAAAAAAAAAUUCAUGUGGGCUUUCAUCUAAGUGAUCAAUCGUAUUUCUGGAAUUUUCGGGGUUUUUCACCCCUAAAAUUUUGGCUUUACAAAUUACACUUUGAUGAACAUUUGUGUAGAUACAUUUUUGUGUAUAUCCCUACAUAUUUCCUUAGGACAAAUUCAUAGAAGUGGAAUUACUACCUUAUACCAUAUAUUAAAUAAAUGAAUUGAAGAAUUAAAUGCAAGAAUUGAAACCGUUAAAAAGCUAGAAAAAAUAGUGGAUAAUUAUCUUAAUAUUGAGUGGAAAAGACUUUUCCAAGAUAAAAGCAAAGACAGAAAUCAUAGAGAAUAAAACAGACUAUGUAAAAACUGAAAACUUCAACCCAUCUAAAAACCCUGUAAGUACUAUUAAAAGACAAAUGACUAACUGGUAUAAAUCAGUAAUAUCAAUUUAAUAUAAAUACUCAAAAGAAAAACAGACGAAUCAUAUGACUUAAUAAGUCUCAAAACUAAUAUACAUUGUUAGUGAAUUCAUGAAAAGCUAUCAAUCUCAAUAGUGAUAGAAUAAAUGCAACUUAAAAUGACUCCAAAUUUUUAUCCUGCACUUUCAAAGAGAUGAAAAUAUCUAGUUGACUGUUGUAAUUUGGUAAUACUCAGUAAAUAGUGAAAAUUGGUGAUACUCUCCACAUAGCAAUUUGGCAAUAUAUAUCCAAAACUUUAAAAUGUGCCUAUCUUUCAAUUGCAACUUCACCUUUGUGCAUUUGCCCUAAGGAAACACUUUCAAAUGUGUAACGACACGUGUACAGAAAUCACUAUAGAGCCUUAACUCUCAGUGUAUGUCUAAACGCCCCCUUCAAACGAGGAUAGAAAUACUAGAGUUGGCUUUUCUUAAACCUGUUAAAGGAUAAGAAACUAUCAGAGAGUUUUCGGUAUAACCAUAGGAGUAAUCCUAAGGAGCUUCUCUUCUUCCUCCUUUGGCUUUGUGUUGAAAAUGUCUUUUAUAACACUAAUCUCAAAGUCAAAUAAAAACUAUGGAAACAAAACUUAAUAAGCUAUUACUAAUAAGAAAAUAGGGUGUUUUAUAUGAGUGCGUUGGUGGUAUAGUGGUGAGCAUAGCUGCCUUCCAAGCAGUUGACCCGGGUUCGAUUCCCGGCCAACGCAAGCAUAACUUUUCCACCUCUUAAAAGUUACAGUAGAUAACUAAGCUCAGAGAAGUAGGAGAAGGGUAAAGAUCUCACCUAUUUUCUAAGAUUGAAUUUUCGGGGAUUCUCCCACUAAAGCAAACCUUGGGGUGCUUUCUUUGUAUUUUGGCUCCUGAGCCAAGCCCGGCUGCUGAUUUUGGCAGCUGGCUUCGCACCACUUCGCGGUAAUUAUCUUUUUGAGGGUCUUUAAGGGAAAUGUCUGAAUUAGAGGCUAGUCGGAAUCGCUUCUCUAAAUUCUCAAAAGCGGCUCUGAUUGACUGAGGAGUCAGAAUAAGGAAGUCAGACCAAGCGCCCGCAGUUCGUAAGAGAUCGCGCCAGGUUACUUCUAGAGGUGAGGGAAAGCAAGGAAAAAUAGAGGGGUGAAGGCAGCUCGUCAGCUCCGCUUCUCUUCAGGGUUCACCAUUACGGCGACAGAAACCUCAAUUCCAGGAUACACGCUGGAGAUGUAAAUAGGAAAAUCCGGGCUCCUAGCCUGGAGGCUCGAUUAUUUGUGGGAGAGAGACGUGGCAUGAAAAGGGGCAAGCCGGACGCAGUCCCCGGACUUCAACCGCCAUUUUCAGUCCCCAAGUCGGGACCUGGGAGCUCUACAGCCCAGCUGAGAUGGGGUACUGAGGGCGUGAUGCUGUCCCCCACCCACUUAACACACGGUGGCCAUUUCUGUUUUAAAAGGCAUAAAAUCCAGGAAGAGCUCGUUUCCCUGCUUACGGCCCGCAACGAUCGUACAGGAGUGUUUCUGCGUGGUGGUCGCAGCAACUUCGGCACGAAUCCAGGUCCUACGGUAGCGUUCUGGCCAGCCAGUUUUAUCUUUUAAAAAUUCUUUAGAGGUGAAAGCAUAAUUCUGCCUUUGCUCCAGGCAGCGUCGCAGAAGUGCAGUCAACGAAUUGGGUGAAUGAUUGUUUCCACUCAGCUCACUCCUCGGCUCGCCGACCGAGGCGACCGUUACCAGCCGUUACAAAGAUGCUGCAGGGCUGUAUGGAGAACCUCGGAGCUGCAAAUCCAAGCUGCAGAGGAAGGCUCCCCUGGCCUUUACCUGAGCAGAGCUGAGCAAGCCUUCGCUGAUGACUCCGGAACUCAGCACCUCUUUCAAGUAUGGGUCCCAGAAACCGGGUUCUCAAAGUGACCCGGACCAGAAGGAAAUUGCGGGAACAGAGGUUUCAGGACUCGACCCUGCCUAUCCCUGAGCAGCUCCUAUCAAGUCUCUGGAAGCCUCGGGUUUCCUUUGUGUUAAAGGGCUUUUGCGUAUUCACGAAAUCCUAGACCCUGACAUCUAAUUAAUGUGUGACUAGACUAUGCAUUCUGUGCCUUGAAAAAAAUAAACAGGCAACAUGCGAGCAAGAGUGCCCGGCUAGCUCAGUCGGUAGAGCAUGAGACUCUUAAUCUCAGGGUCGUGGGUUCGAGCCCCACGUUGGGCGGGCUUUUCUUCCUUUGGGAUCUGUUUUCAUCGAAUCCUCUCUGUCAGCAACCAAAACUCACGGGCUUCUCAAGAUUCCUAGGCAGCCACUGUUGUUUUUAAACUUUGGUAGAAGUGUCCUGGAAUCGUCUCACUUUCGCCCCAAAUUCACCAAAAAAGAAUCCGGACCAGUGAUUCUAGCAUCGUGGCAGGUAGUUGAGACCAGAGGUCCCUAACUCACCGGCGUUCUGAGUCCCGGACCAGCGAGGCUUCCGCGCCGUCCUGAUCCAAGUCGGCUCCACCGCAAAUGUAGUUACUUCUAGGAAACAAAGUCAGGGAGGGCGUCAGAGGACUGUUGGUUUCCAUUACAAGCUUUGUUAAGAGUGUGACUCUAAACUGCAUGCAUAUAUAAACUUGAUUAAAAAAUACUAAAUAAAAUAAGCGAAGUAGCA